ACACACACACACAUUCACUGACAGAUACGCAUACACUCGCUAACAGAAACACACACACACACUAACAGACACACUCACACUCACUAACAGACACACACUCACUAACACACACACUCACAGGCAAACACACACUCACUGACACACUAACAGACAAACAUAGUCAGACACACACACUAACAGACACUCACUAGCAGACACACACACACACACUAACAAACACACACAUUAACAGACACACACUCACUGACACACACACUCACAGGCAAACACACACUCACUGACACACACACACACAGGCAAACACACACUCACUGACACACACACA